GUUCCCUAUGAUAUGAUCUUUUUUACUUUAACGCCAAAUUGUUUUCUGCCAUUAACCACAAAAACUGUCAUCUGUAGAUCCAUCUUAUUCUCCCUUUUUUCUUUUUUUUAUAUGUUGAACAUGUUCUUGUUUGAUUGUAUCCCAAUCAGUGAUCACAUGAUGUUGUAACCAUCAAUCAAUCAAUUUAAAAGAUAAACAAUUUUCAUUAUGUGACAGGAAGGUGACAUGAAGAAAAAAAAGCCUGAGAAGCCAUAAGAAGUCACCAAAGCAUCUGUAACACUUGAGGCUGUAACUCUUGAAAUACAACCAGAAAAUAUGGAAGAUGAAGAGAUAAAUGAUCUUGAGACCAAACUAUAAAUCUUGAUAAAAUUGAG
rnacentral:lncRNA from 1 species